GCAAGGUGCUUAAUAUAUUGUUGGUGUUCGAAGGUAAUAAAUGGCAACAAUUGAGCAAAACAUAUAAAACAUUUUCAAGACAUCGGUAGACACACUCGGGAAUAAUAUGAAAACACGCGUGUCUACUGUCGCAAGGUACGCCAAAAUCUAAAAUGUAAUGACGCAUAAAGUAAAAACUUGUCUAUGAAAAUAAGACAUUUUAUUAAUAUUUCGCUCCAUUACUCAAGACAAAUAGCUUUACAGAUGGGCAGUGAACCAAACAGAGCGUAUGUUCCGUAAAACACCUGCUGUACAUAUAUAGAAGUUCAUAUAUCUUUUCGUGAGGUUCGCAUGUUCCGUAUAGACUUUUGUUAUAAUAUUUGUCUUUUCUUCCGUUCAGCCAUGUAUGUGUUAGAGACAACCGGUAAAGAGAAACCGAACGGCUCUAACAAUCCACAAGUUUUAUUUCUGCUGUACACGUGUGUAGUGUAUUUUAACAUAUGAAGAAGGACCACAUUUUGACUCUUCUGGGAGCAAGUUUUUAUUUAUAGUUUAGUACAUGCGUCACAGGGCAUUCAUUAAAAUUCCUUUGACGGGUACAAAGGGAUGCUCUUUGUGUGUCCCAUUGCACAUUUCGAAGUUAGAUUAUAUAAAACCAUAUACGGACAAAGCGAAUACAUAUCAUUGAAAACAUCGCAACAGAUGGUUACACAUAACAUUUAUGAUUUAACCGCUAAUGGUAGUCUAGACCUGACGCUUUCUGUAGGCAGCUCUGAAGCAUUUUCUCAUUAAAAUAAAAGACCAAAAAAAAAAAGAAAAAUGCGAUAAUGCAUUACAUACAAAUGCAAUGUCAUUGCUUAUAAAAUAUAUAAAUACAAAUAAUGGGGAAAAUGUGAGUCAGCAAUAAAUUUAGUCAGACAAAAAAAAAAAAAGAAUAAAAAGGCAAGAAAAAAUAAAACAAUACUUGGUGACUAAUUUAGCUCAUUUUGCAAAAAAACGAAAAGAGUAUAUUACAAUUGUUCAUUAUAAGUCUUUUCGCUUUAUUCAACCAUUAUAUAAAAGAAAUAUAUCAUUUUACAUAAAUCAAUAGGUGUCAAACGGUCAAAGAUCUAACGAAUUUCAAAAUUUACUUUAGAGUACAGGGUGUAUUCACUUAGAUACUUAUCUCUUACAAAAUAUUACACAGAUAAAUGGUUUCUUAAGAUGAAAAUCUCCACACUUCAUUUGCUGUAAAAAUUACUUAUAAAUACAUUGUUACUUUCCAGUUGAAAUAUAACCUAUACUACCCUUAAGUAAUCAGCGUUAAACGUUUCAUUGCGCCUAUCUAACAAUCUUAGAGGUUUUUUUUUUCGUUUAAGAUAAAAAUCGCACAUUAAUUUAGAAAAAGUAGUAAAUCACUGUGCGAAAUUUCGUACAACUAUGAUGAUUUGUCAAAUUUAAUUGAUAACAAGACAUGAGAAAUUAUGAAAGAUCGCGAAGAAUAUUUGGAUGUUUAAAAAGACUUUGAAUCGAAACAAAUAAUUUAAACACUGACGGAAAUAUUUUAUGCAUGCCACUGUUUGGUAAAGCAUGGGCAAACUAAAGAUUUUUCAAGUCGAGUAUAAAUGGAUUCACUGAUGAGUACACCCAGGCGUUCUGUCGGACGUUCUGACAGUUUCAAGUCCUUAAACCAAACCUUAAACCGAUCGUAUCAAUCUAUUAUCAGUUCCAACAACAAGGCAACAUCGUACGAAACGUUGAGGGAGCGUGCUCUAGCCAGGAGGGUUUUGUUCGAGGACCCAUUUUUCCCAGCUCAUGAUACUUCCUUGCAAAUUAGAUAUAAAUCCUCAUCAGAUUCCAUAGAGUGGAAACGACCUCAUGAAAUUUCUAGGCGACCAAAAUUUAUUUCCAAGAAUCCUGGAAUAUUCGAUAUCCAAUCCGGAAGUUACGGAGACACGUGGCUUGUCCCGGCUUUCUCGUGUCUUACACUUGCACCAUCAUUGAUUCAAAAAUGCAUACCAGAUGAGCAGGAUUUUGAUGAAAAAUACGGCGGAAUAUUUCGUUUUCGAUUCUGGAGAUAUGCGGAGUGGAUUGAGAUUGUCAUAGAUGAUCGUCUACCAACAUAUAAUGGGAGAAUACUGUUUACUACAAGUACUGAUCCAAAUGAAUUCUGGGUACCAUUGCUGGAGAAAGCAUAUGCAAAGUUUUAUGGUUCAUAUGCUGCAAUCCAAGGCUCUGUGGUGAACUGGGCACUUCAAGACCUUACAGGGGGUAUCACCGACACUUUUAUCUUCAGAGACAAUAUAAACCUGCUGCAGAAAAUCAUCGACUUCUCCAUGGCAAGAACUACACUUAUUGCAGCCACCAUAGCGGGACAAGGUGUUCCUCAUGGAAGCUUUCCAAAUGGUCUGGUGGCCGGAAGAGCUUAUACUGUAACUGGAUAUGCGGAAGUACCAUUCCAAGGCGGUAGUGCAAUAUUGGUACGCUUGAAAUAUCCAUGGGGACCUUCUAAAUAUACAGGACCUUGGAAUUCCAGGUCAAGCUUAUGGGAUUCGUUGUCGGUUGAUAUGAAACAAAAGUUAGGUUAUGGGCAGUUAAAGGAUAAUGAAUUCUGGAUGUCAUAUUCAGAGUUCGCAAGAGUAUUCACAAAUUUAGAGAUGUGCCAUUUACCACCAGAGGCUUGGAAUAUAGAGCCAAAACUCAAACACAGGUUGCCAUGGAAGUCUGUGGAGGCUCAUCGCCAGUGGAGACGCGGUUAUAACGCUGGAGGAGGACUUCAUUCACAACUGAUGAGCUGCAACAAUCAGUUCUAUAUAGAACUGAAGAAGUCUAGUGGUGUUGUGCUUUCUCUCAUGCAAAAGUACCGCCUUUUUGGUGAAGUCAGAGAGUUUGUGCCAUGCGGUUGCUUAAUAUUUGAGGUUCCCCCUGGACGGACAGCUCGGCUUCAAAUGAAUAACUUCUUGAAUUCCAAACAAAUUGCUUCUACCGGUGUCCGCGCCGAAAGAGACAACGUUCGUUUCUUUACCCUUCCUGCAGGUUCAUACGUUAUUGUGCCAGUAACAGGGAAAGUUGGUGUGGAAGGAAACUUUUGUCUGAGAAUAUUCUCUGACAAUCGAGACAUUGUAGUAAGAGAACUGGACGACCCCGAUACAGCCUCAUUCGCACCGGUUGAGAAGCAGUUGGAUCCAGAAACUCUGUAUGUGCUGAGAAGGAGAUUUAACAUGUACUGCAACAAGUAUGAGGAAGUGGAUGGUUAUGGCUUGCGGCAGAUCUUGUCCUAUAAGCCUCAAAGUGGAGCUACACAAUUACUUUGUUGUGAACCUGAAAAAGACGAGAUGCACAUAAAACGAUUGUUCCUGUCGCCAGAGACGUGUAAAGCCGCCGUCACUAUAGAGGAUAAAGACAUGAACGGUCGGCUUAAUUUCGAAGAAUUCAUGUCACUGGUACAGAAACUUUCCUUUUGGCAGAGUAUAUUUCUGAAGUUUAGCGUAGGAAAUGGCUCGGUCAUGGAUUCCUACUCUUUACGAAAUGCAUUUAGAAUAACAGGGUUUUCUGUGAGUAACAAAAUAUUGGAGGCUUUGGUUCUCAGGUUCGCAGCAAAAGACUUUAUAAACUUGGAGGGGUUUAUGAAUUCUAUCAUCAAACUUCAUGUAGCACAUAGAAGUACUACAACUAAAGAAAUUGUAGCAUUGAUAGGUAAAUUUAUUCCUAAACCAUUUUGGUUUCUUGUCUUUUGUCUGUCGGAAUGGCUUCUGUACUGUUUAUUGUUAACCUGCUCUAUGCUUUUAUAUAUAAAUUCUUGUCAUAUUCCAAAGGAACAUAUAUCUUACGGGUCUUUGAAGGUAUGGUCAAAAGUAGUUAUGGCUUUACAGUGUUCGUGUUUUUGUUGCAACCCUCGUAUACAUGUAUAUUUGAUCUACAUGUAUCUACAUAAGAAAUUAAAUGCUUAAUUGGUCAAAUCAAAUUAUUUGUAUUUCAACAAAUUAUUGAUUUUUUAUACAAUUUAUAUUUCCAAUUCCAAAGACAUAACUACUUUACUGGCCUAAUGGGUGACGUAUUUGGUGAUAACACCACUACACAUAGGUUGCGCUGAAGUUGCACUUUUUGCAAGCGUGUAUAAUUUGCAGGCUUAUAUACAUUUUCAAUAUUUUUCUUUCCAAAUAUUUUUAUUCCUUAAUGUGUCAAAGGUGUUGUUUUAAUCCUCUAUUAAUCUACCUAGAUUGUAGUUUGAUACCUCACCAACUUUUCUUAUAAUUUAGUUCAUUAUAUAGUAUAUAUAAUACAACUUGAAACAUUUCUUUUCUAUAAAUGCAGUAACACAUAUGAUUUGACUUUCUGUAACUAUUCAUCUUAGAUUUGAAAGAUUGAGGAAUUGGUCAAAUAUUUCAUUGUGCAUUAUCAAUAAUUAUCCUAUGACAAAAAUCUUUUAAAACAACAUUUACUUUGAUUGCUAAAAUUCAAAUAAGACGAAAUAUGUUAAAGUGUAAAUUUUUAAUCUCAUAUUUAAAACAUUUUCUGACUUGCAGAUCGCCACGCACACGCCUCACAAAGCUUGCCUGCAAUGUCAGAUGCUGACCAUAGGAAAUAUUUACAAGAGCUUUUACGGACAUCCAUUUACUCGUGAUGUAAAUAUCUGAGGAGGAAUUCAUGAGGAACAAACGUCUGCUUUUAUUAAAAAUGCGUUGUGAUAAAAUCCAGUUAUUCAAGGAAAUUUUUCAUUGGAGAGAUGGACAUCAUUCUGGAGCUGUACUAUAUUGAACAUAAAAAACAUAAAGAAUGUGCAGUGCUUGGUGCAUUUAUAGUUGUACUGUUUCGGAAAUUAUUUCAUGAUAAGUGUGAAUUUACAAGUACCUGUAUAGCAAGCAGUUUCUAAGGGCGGUGGUACAAACCAAAGUGGUUUUGAACAUACUAAUGUAAAACAUUUGUAACGUAUUUUCGAGACCUAACGACCUUGGAUUUGCCUGGUAUCUGCUCGGGUUGUGAUCCAUAUCGAGAAAAGAUGCUUAUUCAUUUGAUUCAAACUAAUAAUUCCAAGCGCAUUUGGCUACAUCUUAAUUUUGAGAUCUUUCAAUCUUUCAGGUUUUGUGAUAUAUACUCAUAGAAUCACAAGCUUAACCAUUUAGUACAAUGUAGCAUCAUAUUGGCAUGUUUCAUUUACUUAUAACGUUGUUUUUAAAUUUUGGAUAUUGAAAUGUCCAGUCAAAGGAAACAGUUUCGAAAUCAGCUUUUAUCAGUUUCAAAGCAAAUCACUAGAUAUUUUGAAUAUAAAGAUCAUAUUUACAUAAUAUGACACUAUAUCUAACGCAUCACAAAAUAAAACCUACUAUUGGGCAAAACGAAUGUAUAUUGUUUGUAGUCUUUUAAAUUUAGUUAUUAAUUUAUGAAAUAAAUGCGAUAUAUUAACCCUA